rnacentral:rRNA from 1 species
UACGGAGGGUGCGAGCGUUGUCCGGAAUCACUGGGCGUAAAGGGCGCGUAGGUGGCCUGUGGAAGUCUGCGGUGAAAGCCCGGCGCUCAACGCCGGGUCGGCCGUGGAUACUCUCGGGCUCGAGCUUACUAGAGGCAGAUGGAAUUCCGGGUGUAGCGGUGGAAUGCGCAGAUAUCAGGAGGAACACCGGUGGCGAAGGCGGCUCACUGGCUCGUAACUGACGCUCAGGCGCGACAGCGUGGGGAUCAAACAGG